rnacentral:rRNA from 1 species
UGCGUAAUAGCUCACUGGUCGAGAGGUCCUGCGCCGAAAAUGUCCGGGGCUGAAACAUGACACCGAAGCUGAGGAACCGAAAGGUUGGUAGAGGAGCAUUCGUAAAGGGAAGAAGCUGUACCGGAAGGAGCAGUGGACGUUUACGAAGAGAGAAUGCCGGAAUGAGUAGCGAGAUGGAGGUGGGAAUCCUCCAGGCCGAAUAUCCAAGGUUUCCAGGGUAAAGCUGAUCUGCCCUGGGUAAGUCGGGGCCUAAGGCGAGGUCGAAGGACGUAGCCGAUGGACAACAGGUUGAAAUUCCUGUACUGCAUGAUGACAGAACUGUGGGGACACGGGCAGAAAGCCUGGGCCGGAAAUGGAAAAGCCGGUGCAAGCGGAGGAGCCGUGUAGGAGGAAAAACCCCUAUGCAAGGCAGAGCCGUGACGCGGAGCGAAAUAAAAGUAGCGAAGCAGGCGGGCUGGCCGUCAAGAAAAGCCGCUAUUGUUCAUCAUGUACCCGUACCGCAAACCGACACAGGUGGAUGAGGAGAGAAUCCUAAGGCCGGCGGAAGAAGUAUUGUUAAGGAACUCGGCAAAAUGACCCCGUAACUUCGGGAGAAGGGGUGCCAGGGAAACCUGGCCGCAGAGAACUGGUCCAAGCAACUGUUUAACAAAAACACAGGUUUAUGCAAAACCGCAAGGUGAAGUAUAUGAGCUGACGCCUGCCCGGUGCUGGAAGGUUAAGAGGAGAGGUUAGCGCAAGCGAAGCUUUGAAUCCAAGCCCCAGUAAACGGCGGCCGUAACUAUAACGGUCCUAAGGUAGCGAAAUUCCUUGUCGGGUAAGUUCCGACCCGCACGAAAGGCGUAAUGAUUUGGACGCUGUCUCGACAAUACAUCCGGUGAAAUUGAAGUACCAGUGAAGAUGCUGGUUACCCGCGCCAGGACGGAAAGACCCCAUGGAGCUUUACUCCAGUCUGAUACUGGGAUUCGGUGCUGCAUGUACAGGAUAGGUGGGAGGCUGAGAAUUAAGGACGCCAGUCUUUAAGGAGCCGGUGUUGGGAUACCACCCCUGCAGUAUUGGAUUUCUAACCUGCGGCCGUAAUCCGGCCGGGGGACAAUGUCAGACGGGGAGUUUGACUGGGGCGGUCGCCU